AAUAUUGAUAAGCAGUAAUUUUGUUGUAGAUAUUAUGUGCUUUAUACAACAGGGAAUAGAAAGUUAGCUUUGGAAAGUUGAAGUAAAAACAGAAAGUGCAUUUUGUAUUAACAUGUAUUUAUUUGAGCUAGUUUGUAUCGUUUCGUUUUUGCUUAUCACCGUAGUGGACACCGCAGAUAAUAAAAAGAAAUGCGCGAGAGGAGAGAUACCUGUCUUUUGUACAAAACAUGGCCACGACAGUGACGAAUGUGUCAAAGAUAACAGAAAUGGAAUGGACCAUGGUCACUGGAAUGUUGACUUCAAGGGAGGUAAGCGUUGUAUCCUAACAUGUGGUUCUGGAUACAUUCCAAGUGGAUGUCACGUUCAACGAAAGUGGACCGAUAAUAUGCCGACAU